AAUGUUCUUGAAACCCAAAGAAUUUGGCGGUAUUUUAUUCUUUUUAGAGGAACCUGUCCUGUAAUUGAUAAUCCACGAUAGGUAAUUACUUGUUUUUGUAUUCAGUUUGUAUACCUCCGUCAUCAGGGUAUCUUUUUAGAGAUAAUAUCCAGGAAAUAGAAAAUAUAAAAUGUCAGGUCAAGGUGCAAUUUAUAGGCAAGUAGAGAUGGGUUACAAUAAAAUUAUUUAUACGAAUUAUUAAUUAUAUAAUUAAUAUGAAGGUGGAUUUAAAAGUAAAAUUAAUUCUUUAUUAUUUUGAUUUUAGCUCUAAAAUAUGCACACAUCGCCCGUCGCUCUUAUUUUAAAAUAAGAUAAGUCGUAACAUAGUAGGUGUACUGGAAAGUGUACCUAGUA
rnacentral:rRNA from 1 species